GAAAGACCAUCAAGAGAGCUCAAAACCCUGACGGAAAACCAUCAGAUAAAACGUCCAGAUUACAAACAGAAGAUGAAAGUUGCAUGUUUUUCUCUCCUACUGCUGCUGGCAUGUAGCUUUGGAGAGGGCCUGAAAUGCAACUGUAUUGCCAAUCUUUGCACUGACACAGUGCAGACCUGUGAACCUGAAGAAGACAGCUGUAUCAGCGCCAUUAAGCCACCCUCAAAAUUCAUAAACCUUAAGAGAUGCAUGAGUAGUUCAAGCUGCCUUUCGCUGAAAGCAAUGUCACCCAGGAUCACCAGCUGCUGCUACACCGACCUGUGUAACUAACACAACCUCUGUCUACGAUGCGGUCAAAUCCUGUACUUCCUUUGCUGUACUAAGCUGCACAUUGUUGUGACUGUGAGAAAUAAAUACAAAGGAACUUAAA
ensembl:lncRNA